ensembl:misc_RNA 7SK 7SK RNA
AGAUGUAAGGACAGUUUUCUGGCUGGCUAGGCAGUGUCCCCUCCUCCCCUCACAUCUCCACAUACAACCCUUCCCAAGCUGUGUGCUCAAGGGUAUACGAGUAGUUGUGCUUCUCUGCUAGGACCUCCAGACAAGCUAUCAAGGUCCGUUUGUAGGAAAAUAUAGGACAGUAAAGCUUACAAGGCUCCAGACACAUCCAAAUGAGGCCCUUCAUGUGGCAGUCCGCCUUUCUUU